UCUAAGUUAUAAUCAAAUCAACACUUCUCUAGCAAGUUUAGGUUUAGUAAAUUUGACCAAUUUGAAAAGAUUGGAUUUAAGUUAUAAUCAAAUCGCAAAUGCUAGAGGUUUAAAAAAUUUGGAAAACUUGGAAGAGUUGUAUAUGGGACAUAAUGCAAUGGGCGGUGACUCUCUUACUUUAGGU